UACGUAGGGUGCGAGCGUUAAUCGGAAUUACUGGGCGUAAAGCGUGCGCAGGCGGUUCGUUGUGUCGGUGGUGAAAGCCCCGGGCUUAACCUGGGAAUGGCCAUGGAAACUGGCGAACUGGAGUGUGGCAGAGGGGGGUGGAAUUCCGCGUGUAGCAGUGAAAUGCGUAGAGAUGCGGAGGAACACCGAUGGCGAAGGCAGCCCCCUGGGCUAGCACUGACGCCCAGGCACGAAAGCGUGGGGAGCAAACAGG
rnacentral:rRNA from 1 species